AGGAACCACACCAACAACAUCAACGUCAACAGGACCCACAGUCAUUAUAACGUCAGGACCAACAUCAUCUACAACUGAAACAACUGUGUCGACGACCACUUCCACGACAGGAACAACAAUUACAACAGGGCCCACAGUUAGUACCACAUCAGG